CGAGGCAGACAGCAGCAGAGCAGACCGGAUCGAGAGAGUCGGAGCAGGAAACAAAGAAAGCCCGAGGCAGAGUGUGUGAGGCAGCCGCGGAUAAAGGCAGAGAAGUCCGCAGGCAGAGCCGGUGGUCACAGGCGAAUCCAGGUUUGAUGCUGAUAAGCUGUGAGCCGAGGAGAAAAAGCCCUUUGUGAGAGGAAAUGCUUGAGACUCCGGGGAGUUAGCACACAGUAGCCGCUCAUUCGAUGCCGCUCACAAGGAAAACAUGCAUUUAUUGCGCUAUUAACUUGGGAGAGAAGCGAUUAAGAUGGCGAGCCCAGCCCAGCGAUUCUGAGAGAGAGUUGGAGAUGCAGUGUGGCCAGCUGCAGAACCGACCUUGACAACUCCAGAUCAUCUGAAUCUCUCACUCUGAGAACAGAUAAGACACACACACUCCUCACCUACCCGGGUAGUAGUUUAUAGGAAUUGAGGACAAAGAAACUGAAUGGACAUUGAUACACUGAACACAUACACACACCCACAUUGGAUCUUUCUUCUUGAACUGAACCGACCAGAAUAUCGAGCAGGAGAGCUCCAGUUCUGUGGACUUUUUUUUUUUGGUGGCGCCUUAUUUUGGUAAAUAAAAAUACAGCCAAGCUGUUGAUGUUAUUUGUUUUGCAUUUAUAUUAAAAUAUCACCUGUUCAAAUGCCAA